AACGAACGCUGGCGGCAUGCCUAACACAUGCAAGUCGAACGAGACCUUCGGGUCUAGUGGCGCACGGGUGCGUAACGCGUGGGAACCUGCCCUUAGGUUCGGAAUAACUCCCCGAAAGGGGUGCUAAUACCGGAUAAUGUCUUCGGACCAAAGAUUUAUCGCCUUUGGAUGGGCCCGCGUUGGAUUAGCUAGUUGGUAGGGUAAAAGCCUACCAAGGCGACGAUCCAUAGCUGGUAUGAGAGGAUGAUCAGCCACACUGGGACUGAGACACGGCCCAGACUCCUAGGGGGAGCAGCAGUGGGGAAUAGUGGGGAAUGGGGGAAGGGCGGAGACAUGCAGGCCGCGGGUGUGAAGAAGGUCUUCGGGUUGGAGAGCACUUUAAGUGGGGAGGAAGGGAAGUAAGUUAAUACCUUGCUGUUGUGACGUUACCAACAGAAUAAGCACCGGCUAACUUCGUG
rnacentral:rRNA from 1 species